rnacentral:snRNA from 1 species
GUGCUUGCUUCGGCAGCAAAUAUACUAAAAUUGGAACAAUACAGAGAUUAGCAUGGUCCCUGCACAAGGAUGACAUGCAAAUUCGUGAAGAAUUCCAUAUGUUU